rnacentral:lncRNA from 1 species
AUUUGCAGAGCGGGUUCCGCCGGGGAGGAGAACUCGCGUGCUUGGUGCAGAGGCGAACGCAGCCUGCGGGGCGCGGCCCAGGGGCGCGUCGUGGAGCCUCCAGAAGGCGAUCGUGGGAUUUAGAAACCUCUCCCGGGGCUCCCACGGGAGGAGGCUGACCCCGGGCCGGCACGCGAUCGCGGGAUGGGCGGGGGUUGUAGUAAGGCGCUGGGCCGGGCCGCCAUCGGCGGGGCACUGGCUGCGUCUGUGUGCAGGCGCCGCACGGGCUCAUCCGCUUACACUGAAUUGUAUUACUCUAUUUCUCCCACCCAGGAAAUGAACCACAUCCCCCAGCGACCGGACGGAAGCACGCACUAGCUCCGUUCUCCCGGGGAGAGUUUGCAGUGACUUGAGCUUGGGUGGCCCAGGUCAUUUGACUGGAAGAUGUGUCUGCGUGCACUGAAUGAGGAUCUGGCCCUACUGUGUGCUCCUGGACCUGUUGGGUUUGACUCUUGAUUUCUUUUUUGGGUGUUCACUGGCUGAGGACGGCUGUGCACGGUGGCUAUAAAUAAAAACGGAGCUUGACCUCA